rnacentral:rRNA from 1 species
UACAGAGGGUGCAAGCGUUAAUCGGAAUUACUGGGCGUAAAGCGCACGUAGGCGGUUCGUUAAGUCGGAUGUGAAAUCCCUGGGCUCAACCUGGGAGCUGCAUUCGAUACUGGCGAACUUGAGUAUGAUAGAGGGGGGUGGAAUUCCAGGUGUAGCGGUGAAAUGCGUAGAUAUCUGGAGGAACAUCAGUGGCGAAGGCGGCCCCUCGGAUCAAUACUGACGCUGAGGUGCGAAAGACGUGGGGAGGCAAAC